GUGCCCUCAAGGCCAGACUCUAGCAUGGCAGGCAGAUUCCUCAGCCUAUUCAAAGUGGUCAGGGGGAAAAGGAAGAAGGACACUGGAGCUGCUCCAGCGCAACAGCCUGAAGAGCCGGAGCAGUUCCAGCCACUGCAGGAUGAUGCAGCCAUGGACCGGACCCAAGAGCAGGACCCCUCCCUUGGCCGCUUCCGCAGAACGCUGAAGAUGUUCCGGAAGUUUGUGCCCAUUCAGCGCAGAAAGAGCAGUACCACAGCAACUGAGAGCACAGCCAAGCCUGACUCUGGGCUGACCGAGCUCCAGGCAGAGCCUGAUGUCAGCCCAGAUUCAUCUGAGCUCUCAGAAAAGUUUGACACCGCAGUGACUGAAAACUGGGAAGAGGCUUUUCUCAUGUCAAUGACUGAGGAUGUGGCCAUCACAGACACUGUCAAUGAAGAGACUCAGGGCAUGACAAAGACUGAAACCAGCCCAGAUUUGGCUGAGUGCUCAGAAGACUUUGACAGUGCAAUGAAUGAUCACAGGGCAAAGGCUGACAUAGAAGUGAUUGAGGACGUGGCCACCACAAACGCCGACACUGGAGUGGCUCAGGACAUCGCAAAUACUGACACCAUGCCAACUCCCACAGUUAUUCAUGCUCCCUCUACAGAUUUCUUUGAGGAGAGAGGAUUUGCUUCUCAGCAGGUGCCAGUCAUGGUGAAAAACAUUCACCAGAGUCUCACGUCCCAUGUCACUGUGGGUGCCAGGCUGGCCACGAACAUUCUGAAGCUGGCUGAAAAACACCCUGUUGAUGUGGUGCUGACCCUCCUGCGCUGUGCCCCAUCAUGUGACAGAGCUGCUGCAAUGAUGUGGAGAACUAUCGCCUCGUCGGGACCAACAAUGAAGAAGGUGCUGGCAAUACUGCUCUGUGUGAUGGAGGAUUGGCCUCUGCACAGCAUGUGCACCUCCGAUGGGGACAACAAGACUGUUUUUUCCCUGGCUGCAACUCUGGUGCUCUGGGUGAUUAUCCAAGUGCCUGAGUGCCACGAGGCCAUGAUCCUUUAUUCCGCCCGCCUGUUUGUGGCUCUGCUGUUCCAUGUUGUCAUCACCACCCAGCAGAUGCCACCAGUGGAAGUUGACAUCUUCUGGAGAGCAUGCCAGGAGGAACACCGCCUUCCCAGCAACCCCAACAGGUUUGCAGUGCAGGCCAUGAAGGCUCUGCUCUGCUGUUUGCACUAUGAUAGUGAGUUGAUGGCUAUGGAGCGCAAGCGUGGCUGGGACACGCUGCUCUGUGCUGACACCCAGCACUAUGCCGUGGGUCUGUUGGCCAGGGAGAUGCACGGUGCCUCCCUAUCCUUAUGUUCUGGGAUUGCACUCCGCCUGCUCCGGCUGCUCAGCAGGGAGGAGCCAUGCUGGGAUCUGCCCUUCCUGCCAUUCCUUGUGGAGGUCCUGGAUUGCCUGGACUUGCGUGAACGUGGUGACAGCAUCCUGGAGAUCAUGUCAAUGCACCUGCAGAAUGAGUGCAGGCAGAGGCGUCGCCUGGCGCUCAGAGGCCUCAUGGUGCUCAGCAAGGAUCCCUCGAUGGUGAGGACAGGGCAGCAGCUGAAGCUGUGCUGGGGAAAGCAGCUCCUUGUGCUGGCUGGGCUGCAGGAGCUGAGGCAGCUGCUCCCAGCUCUCCUGCCUCACCUGCCUGAGUGCUUUGGGACAGCCCUUUGGCCUCUGGGCCCAGCGGCAGCAGAGUGGGGUUGCAGUGCCAGGGCCGUUCAUGGCUUCUCAUCACAGCCUUGUUUUCCACACAGGCCAUAAGAAUGUGCAGCCUGUCUCAAAGCCUUCUGGAGCUGCUGGGUGAUGCAGACAGAGAUGUGCUUGGCAUGACCCUCCAUGUGUUCACUAAUAUGCUCAAGAACAAAGACAUUCUGA
rnacentral:lncRNA from 1 species